rnacentral:lncRNA from 1 species
UAACCCUCGGAUUAUACUAUUUUAUACCAGUGAUUUCUGCUUUUGCGGUCCAGGAACCGCUAUGCGGUCCCGCAUUUGCGGAAAACCAACCGCUUCUGCGAUUCUCUUAAUUAGCCGACCAACCGCUUCUGUCGUCCACCCAUCGCAGAAGCGAGUUCGCUUCUACGAAACUUACACCGCUUCUGCAGUUUCCAAGCCAACGUCCACUUUCCGCUUAUGUUGCUGCCAAGCCGCUUUUGCGGCGCCAUUGCGGUUCCCAAACCACAUAAGUGAAAACACUAGAAGGCCUGCUGCAAAUUUCCUUCUAAAUUCAAAAUUUCCCCGUUGAGCAUCCGAAACACACCCGAGGCCCCCGGAACCUCAAUCAAAAACACAUAAUACCUUAUUCAAACUUGCACCAAUCCAUAAAACAUCUAAAACAAUGCCGGGAACCCAAUUAAAUCAAAGAUUCAAUCCUAAGAACUUCAAAUUCAUCCAAAAUACAUUUUCGAUCCAAAACCUAUCCAACACUCGUCCGGUUGACCUGAAAUUAUGCACUCACUUUCCAAAUGACAUGACAGUGCUACAGCAACUUUUGGAAUCCCAUUCUGACCCUCAGACAAAAAAUUCACUAUCAGAGCGGAAACCUCCAAAUUCUAACUUUCGGCAUUUAUAGCCUAAAUGAGCUACGAAAAUCCAAAAUACUUUCCAGACACGCUCCGAACCCCAACAUCACCUAACAGAGCUAACGAAACCAUCGCUAUUUCCAUUCCGAGAUCAUCUUCACACUGUUUCGAUUAUGGAUCACUUUCCAACAUUUAAGCUCUCAAUUGGGGAAUAAGUAUCCUAAAACACUUCAAAUCCAAAUAUCGAAACGUACCAGCAAACCAAAAUAGCAGAAUUGAACUUAGGGGUAAUAGUUAAAAGGGGAACAGGGAAAAAAUUCCAAAAACGAUCGGCCGGGUCGUCACACUAACUCGUAUGCACUGUGAGAAUCUAACAUACUUAUUCUGAAAUUUUCAACAAUCAAUUAAUUCCAGUCAAUACGCAUUAUGGAAUUUAUUUGCAGAUUUAACCUAGAAAUGAAUCAAUGAAGUAAACCAAUCAUUUUCUCAAAAACAAACUUCCAAGUGUACAUGAUUUCAUGUAGUUGUGAGUAUGUUAUUUUAAGUUUUAAACAAGUCAGCACAUUAUAUUGCUUGAAUUAUGACUGAAUUAACAUCACUGAGCUAGUUUCAUAUUCUAAAUUUAGUUAUCAUAGUAUAGUGAACCAAAAACAAAACAACUGUGCUCUAACACUAUUAGCAAAGUAAUCACAUAACUGUAACGGAUCAGCAGUGCCAAUUUGAAGAGUCCUAAUUAUACAAAUCAUGUAGAAUUUCACAUAAACAUGAUUGCCCUACAGCUUUCAGAACAAAACAAAGCAGGAAAAUCAAGGGUUGACUCAAAUAGCAUUCAUCAGUUAACUCUUCAACAUCAGACCUACAGUGAUCCCUUCAUAGUUUAUACGAGACUAAGAGAGUACUGGAAAUUGAGAGAUAAUAAGAAGAAGGAGAGGUCAGAAAUAGUAGGAAACAAGCAGAUGACCAAACACAGCCCAGAAACAAGUUCAACAGCCUAGGAAGUGUUCUAAAUCAACAAGAUAAGUAAAUCAACAUAACACAACUUGAAUAAAACCCAAAUAAACUCGAAAUUACACUUAGGAACAAUUUCUGAAACCAGCAACCAAUAAAUCAGCCCAAAACAGUCUCAAAUGAGGUCAAACACACUUGAGAUGAACCCAAGACACUCCAAAAAACUUCAACAUUAAAAACUUAGGCUAAAUAAUACAAAUUAAAUACUAGAUUUCUAGAUCCACCAAAAAUUUCAAUAGAACAAUAUUUUUUUUUAGUUUUUUAUGCUAUAUUUUUAGUUUUUUCUGAAGAAAAGAAGAUCUAAGGAACUUUGAACUUCAGAUUAUUUUGGGAAGUUUGAAAUUCAAAUUCCAGAUUUGUGAAACUUGUGUAAUACUUUUUGGGGGAAUUCUAGAUCUGAAAAAAUUAGAGAGAUUUUUUGGGGAAAUCUUUAGAUGUUAAAACCUGUUAACUAAGGCACUAGACAUGCCUUUUACAGGUAAAAAUGAGGGCAGCCCUCAGAUUUUCAGUUUUGGAUUUACAAUCCUUUUU